GGUUAGACGAAGAAUCUAAAUGGAACAGUUUGUUAUUUUAAUUUACAGUAAAUAUUUUAAAGUAAAUAUUUUUCUUUCUUUAGGUGAAAUUUAUAAAAAGAAACACAAAUAUCUUAAACUAUUUAAAGGAUUUAAAAAAUGAAGUUAAAAAACCAGGAUUAGAUACCCUGUUAUUCUUCACAAUAUAUGUUAAUAGGGUAGUAAAAGUUAUUCUUCAAACCCAAAGAUUUUGGCGGCAUUCUAACCAAACAGAGGAGCUUGUCUUAUAAUCGAUAAUCCCCGUUGUAUCUUACCUUUACUUGUUUAGUUUGUAUACCUCCGUUGUCGGAUUACUCUAAAAGGACGUUUUCUAGAAAAACCAUUUUUUUACUUCAGGUCAAGGUGCAGUUAAUGUAAAGGAAAUGAUGAGCUACAAUUUUUUAAAAAACACGGAUUCCAAUUUGAAAUUUGGUUAAAGGUGGAUUUGUUAGUAAGUCUUUUUAAGAAUAGAAGGCUGAAUCAGGCAAUUGAAUGUGUACAUAUCGCCCGUCACUCUCCUUCGAAAAGGAGAUAAGUCGUAACAAA
rnacentral:rRNA from 1 species